CAGGUUUGUUUGGAUGAGGCUGCCCACUUGAUCAGGACCACCUGGAAGUUGGCUAUUUGAUGACAAGAUCUGCUGUGCCCUGUUCUUUAGCAGUGUGGGUGCUGGUGAACAGAAAGUUACACAAGAAUUCAGCUGACCAGCAUGCAAUGGCGUGAAACUUCUGGGAAUAUUCUGAGACAGAGCUUCUUUUCAAGUGAAGAUGUUAAAAGCAACUGAAAUGAAUCAGUAAUAAACCUCUACCACUUGCAGCAGAGCACAGCAGCCCAUCUGUGUAACAGGAUCGAGAACCAAGGAUCUCUUAGCAAGCUGAAGGCAAGUUAGGAGGAUGGGGAGAAGAAAAAAGUAGGACAAAGCUUCCACUCAUAUCCCAGUGCAGGUACAUGAAACUGACAAUUGUUACAUUUUCUAGCAGGCCAAAGACACGACUGUUGACAGUAUUUUAGACUAACCCGUUCUUUAUUUGCUACCAUUGUAAACAUCUCUAUUACACAGACAUCACAGUACACAUUAUUGCUUUUAUAUUGUGGUAAACAGGAAUUACGAUUAGUACGCGGCUGUCUAAGCACAUUGUUGUAAGAAGGAAUUGCCCACAAGUCAUCUUGGGCUGGGUUGUUCUUAAUUCCCUAGAGAAAGACAGUGCCUAGACUGGCACAAGAAACAUCAGUCCAAAGAUGGGUCACCAUGGUACUACAGCAACACAAACAAGAAUGACAGAAGGAAACCACAGGCUACAGCUUCACCACACAUCACUAGCAGUAUUGGCAAGGAUGCUGACUGCUCAGCUCCCACCUAACUAAACACAAACUUUUUCAUCGUAAUUCCUAAAAAAAAAGGCUAAGUAACUUCUUUUGUGAAAUUUUAGUUAAACCAGGACGGAAAAAUCUGGAAAACCAAUGGAGCUCUGUGUGUGUGUGUUUUAAUUUUUGUUGCAUUUUUGUUUUGUUUUGUUUUGUUUUUCAAAGACUGAAACUAUUUACCUGGGGUGUUUAAAUUGGCCCCUUUUACUAUUGCACUUAGGACAAAAUGCCCUAUUCUUCACAUGGCUGUAUCAGAUGACUGGAGCACAACCAGUUUAAAAAGAUUGUUUCUUUCUUCCUAUGUAGCACUGUCUUCAGAUGGCUUUCCAAUCAAGUUAGUUACUUCUGAAACAAUAUGUUUACUUGGUGAAAGACUAGAUUUUACAUUUGCUUGUAGUAAACUUCUGCUUAUCUCCAGAUUAAUUUGUUCACAGAGUGGCACCAUGUUUCAAGCAUACACUAAAUAACAAAAGUGAAGGUAGUUUGUUAAACAUUUGCUACAGGGACAACAACAAAUUUAGAAAACCACCUUGUCUCCAGUUUUAUUUUUUUUUUAAUACUAUUGCAUAAAAGUUUUCACAUAGUGAAUGUUUUAAAGAGGCAGCAGGUUAGAAAACUAACAGCACUUGCAAGUUCUAGUAAGAUAAUAUGUAUUUAAAACGUGAUGGUUAAUAAAUAAUAAUUCACUGAGUUUUUAAGACUCUUAGAAUAACCUGUGAGCGACAAAUUCUGAUGUUCAAGAUUAUAUCAACUUGCAGAAAAGUGGCCUACCUCCAUUUCCAGUCUUCCAUAACCUUAGGAUUGUCACCUUACAACAGAGUUAGCAUAAAAUACCACUGACUAGUAAAGCCUUGUUCUUGCCUUCUCUAAACACAAUUUUACCUAUUUCAAUACAUUUUCUAGCUACCACCAUAAUACAGUUAACUUACCAGGGGUGCAAACAGGGACAGCAGUAUUAGUCUACAUAUAGUGAGUGACUCCUAGACAGAAUUACUGAUUGAUCACACAAAACCACAUGCAAAUUCUAACUGUGUCCUGGAAAGGUGUACUGGAGCCUAACAUAAACAUUCACCUUAAUUACUACAUGCACACUAAUGUAUUCCCUUAUGUCUCACUCAUCUGAUGAUGGCUGGGUUUACUGCCACAGUUCACUUCCCAGAUCACCCAUUGAUUUAAGAAGAAAAAAAACUAGCCAAGAUGCAUCUUAUUAUAAGCUUGAAGUACAUUUGACACUAAAACAUCUCAGGUGUGUGAUAGGAACCCUGAGACUCUAUGGUUGGGCUUUAGAAGCCUCAGCAAUAGUUAAAUGUUAGUCUCCCAGUGAACAAGGAGCCCAGUGCUGGAAAGACAAGGCUGUAGAUUACUUUUGCAACUG